AGAGUUUGAUCAUGGCUCAGAUUGGACGCUGGCGGCAGGCUUAACACAUGCAAGUCGAACGGUAACAGAACUAGCUUGCUAGUUGCUGACGAGUGGCGGACGGGUGAGUAACGCGUAGGAAUCUACCGAAUAGUGGGGGACAACAGUUGGAAACGGCUGCUAAUACCGCAUACGCCCUACGGGGGAAAGGAGGGGAUCUUCGGACCUUUCGCUAUUUGAUGAGCCUGCGUGAGAUUAGUUAGUUGGUGGGGUAAUGGCUCACCAAGGCGACGAUCUCUAGCUGGUCUGAGAGGAUGAUCAGCCACACUGGGACUGAGACACGGCCCAGACUCCUACGGGAGGCAGCAGUGGGGAAUAUUGCACAAUGGGGGAAACCCUGAUGCAGCCAUGCCGCGUGUGUGAAGAAGGCCUUCGGGUUGUAAAGCACUUUCAGUUGUGAGGAAAGGUUAAGGGUUAAUAACCCUUAG
rnacentral:rRNA from 1 species